UAGACUCAGGAAGGUGCUCCUCUGAUGAGAGACACAGAUCCAGACACGACUACAACCAGUACCAAGGUCUGUGGAGUUCAGGCAAGGGUCUGAGGUUAAUUCCAAUAGAUGGAAAAGAAGGAAAAGAAUUCCAGCAGGCAAGAAUUCCCAUGGCCAAGAUUAGAGUGCAAGAGUUUGAGAGAGCAGUUACCUUUGGCCCUUUGGACUCUCUCUGGGUGCUCACAAAGGUUCCUGGGCCCUGGGGCUCCUUGGCUGGCUAUUUGGUGAAAGACUCAAGAAAACAAGUACUCUGAAGGAUGGGAGAAAUCAGGACUUUUAUGUACUGCCAGAGGGAAGGUGAUGUCCAGAGGAGUUACAGUUACAUAAGCCAGUCACUUUUCAGAUAUCUUUGAAACUGGGAUGGAGUGGACAGCAGACGGACCACCUACUUGGAGUCAAUGACUGUUACUGUAACAAGAUCCCAUCUGACCAAUCCUGAGACAAUGGACCGUCAGACAAACUCUGAAACCACCUCCGGCUACAUCUGGCCACCUCUAACCACUUCUGAACACAACUGUGAACACAUCUGUUUGAACUGUGCAUAUUUAUCACUUCCUGUCCCUAAUCCUUUGUUUAGUUAACCCUAUAGCUCAUGUCUGUGCCCUGAAGAUGGCUGACAAUGGCUGCUUACACCAUAUCAUCAAUAUUUCUCUGCUGUUCAUCAUUAUCAUCUCUUUAUUUUGUGAAUAGAAGUGAAAUGACUGGACCUGACCUGUAAAAUCCCAGGAGUUUGAGCCAAGAUCCUAAAAAUUCCGGUUUCACAUGCAUGCAUCUUAUCAAUCAAUCAUUUAAUAGUUUACAAUGUUUAAUCUUUGUAUCUUUUGAGGGAGUAACUGUGAUCUUUAUGUUAGAAUGAGGGAAUUAAUGUGUGGGAGCAUGGAAUGACUUGAUCAAGGUUAUUCAAGCACAAGUUAAAUAGCAUCAUCUUUUAAAAGGGUAGUCCAGAUGCCAUUCACAAAGUAGGUAAGUGUAGAGUAUAAGCAGGUAAAGUAAUUUUCUCUUAGCAGAACUGAGACUAGAACACAGGUCUACUAUUAGUGUUCCACCGUGUCCC